rnacentral:lncRNA from 1 species
CCAUUUUCGAUUCAGCCAUUACACAAACUUCCUAGCUAUAUCGCCAUAUUUCUUUACUCGUGCUAAGAAUUCUGAUAUGUUUGAUCUUCGACUUGGAGGGAAUUGGCAAAUGAGAAUUUCAGCUUCUUCUGAUAGUUGUACCACGUGCAUGGCUACCCCACGAAUUUCAUUGAUCAAAUAGCUAAAUUGCAUUUCUUUUUCUUGGAGGCCCUCUUCGUAAGCACGAAUGUCUCUAUCAUAUUGACUACUCUUUUCUUCCAAAGCCUCCAAGAGAGUAUCUAACUGUUGUUGGCGAUCUUGCAGCAUAUCUUCUAAUUCUCAUAUCCUCUCUUUUAGUUCUUGUCGUUUAGAUCGACUAGUCGUUACCUUAGCAGACACAGCUUCAUAUUUGGCGUUCUUCUUUCUUAGUUCCAUCAUAGCUCGAGCAGCCUUUUCUUCUUCUUUCUUCGCUUUCCCUUUCCAAAAUUCCAUCCCGCCUUUAAUGUUGCUUAUUUCUUCUUUCCAUUCUAUCGACGACUUGCCCAGCCCACUAUUCUUUAUUGUGCCUCUUAACUUCUUAUUUUUCAGAUGAAGAUCUCUUAAGUCAUUUCUUACGACUUCAGCCUCUUUUUGCACUUUCUCGGUUCUGGAUCUUUCAAUCUGAACGUCGAUCUUCAAUUGGUAGUUUUCCUCUUAAAGAGCACUAAGUUCCUGAGACACUUGGCUUUUUCUUGUCUUGCCACUUCUAACUCAGACGGUAUUUCCUUCAAGAAGGGAUUCUGAAAGGCAUAACUCAUUGACGAAACUCGCUGGCUAUUCACCCGUUGUAUUCUCCAUACGUCGUAAUCUUGAGUGAGAGUAUCAGCGUACAGGGCCAACUCCAUCAGAUGAACUUCCUUCCAAGAUUUUGCAGCGCUUCGAACCCUCUUCAUAUAGCCUUCACCCGCAAAAGCAAACUAAGACUGCGCUAAUCCUCCAGUGGCGGGUAUGAAUUAUCGUGAAGAAAAUUGCCUCUGGACCAUUAACGGAGCGUAUCUAAUUCCUCCCCAUAACCCGAGUAGUGGGACCCAAUCUUGAUUUCCAACCUUGUAUAACAGAACCGAAGGACGAAUCCACGGUGUUCUCCAGGUUACAUCUUUAGCUCGAAGGUUCUGAAAAACUGAAACCCAAUGCUCUUCGGUGACACCCUUUGGCCAUUCUCUCUCAAGAUAGGCCUCCAACGGGGCGAAAGUUUUUGAAAACAUGUGGUACGGUGUGCGCUCUACUUUCCAGAAAUGGCUCAAAAUCCAAACAUUAAGCAAUUGCACACAUCCGAUAAAGCGUCCCUUCCCCACUUUCAUCCUUUACACACCAACUCCGACCAACUCAUCACACCAUAUGGGUUAAAAACAUCCACCCAUCCCUACACACCAUAUCGUGCCAUUACGACACAUAUCAGAUAAAUUGUAGCCAAGAUGCUAGAUAUAGGCAUACAGAACACUUCCUCCAUAUAUACAAUCCCACCCAAGAUACAGAUGCAGAAUACAAAUAUAAAUACAAAAAUAACAUGCUUAUCAUGCUUGUGUACAGAUAUCAAAUAUACAUAUAGCAGAAUAAUCGAACAUGCAUAACAGUGUCUUACUCAGAGCAUACAAUCAGAAUAACAAAUCACAUAAUUUAAGGUUUGGUUAGCCCUUACCGACCCUAUGGUAGGCCCAC